AAAACUUGGGACGAAGCUAAAGUAGAAUGUGAAAGAUUGAAUAGCUCCCUGGCUGAGUUUGACUCACAAGAACAAGCAUUAAACAUAUUUGUCAGUUACCAAUCUAAUUUUUGGAUUGGCAUGUACGACUACAAACCUGAGCAGUCCUGGGUUUGGAUCAGUGACAACAAAACAGUCAACAUGUCUUACUGGGAUGAAAGUCCAGAAGAUCUCAAGAACGAAACUUGUGGAUACAUGUACUUUUACGAUGAUCCAAAAAUCUCUGUAAAAAAUUGUGCUUCAACAUUGUUCUAUAUAUGUAUGG
rnacentral:sRNA from 1 species